rnacentral:tRNA from 1 species
GCGCCCGUAGCUCAGAUGGAUAGAGCGUCUGCCUCCGGAGCAGAAGGUCGCAGGUUCGAAUCCUGCCGGGCGUACCA